GGGGGGGGGGGGGGGGGGGGCGGGGGGGGGGGGGUGGGGGGGGGGGACGGGGGGGUGGCUCGGGUGGGGUUGGGGGGGGACGGGUGGGUAGCACGUGGAUAACCUACCUAUAGGUGUGGGGUCACUUCGGGAAAGCGGCGCUCCUACCGGCUACUAUAUUGACCCGGAUGGUUCAAUGGUGAGAGCCGGUUUUGAUGUCACUUGUCGAUGGAUCCGCGCCGCAUUAGCUAGUUGGGAAGGUAAAGGCUUACCAAGUCAACGAGGCGUAGCCGACCUGAGAGGGUGAUCGGCCACACUGGAACUGAGACACGGUCCAGACGCCUACGGGAGGCAGCAGUAGGGAAUCUUCCGCAAUGGGCGAAAGCCUGACGGAGCAACGCCGCGUGAGUGAUGAAGGUCUUCGGAUCGUAAAACUCUGUUAUUAGGGAAGAACAAAUGUGUAAGUAACUAUGCACGUCUUGACGGUACCUAAUCAGAAAGCCACGGCUAACUACGUG
rnacentral:rRNA from 1 species